UUUCUUUUCUACAACCCCCCACCUCCAUAAAAUAUUUUAGCCCCUUUUCUUUUUUUCUCAGCCCUAGAUAUUGAAGAGGUGACAGUGAAGUGGCUGAAAGCACAGAUUCUGGAGCCAAAUUGCUUGAAUCAAAAAUCUGGCUAUGCUCCUUCCUAGGUUUGCAACUUUGUGCAGGUUUCCUCAUUUGGAAAAAAUGAUUACAAUAGCACUUAUCUCACGGAGAAGAGCAGGCUUAUUUAAGAGAGAUCAGAUUUUUUUAUACAGUAUCAGAUUUGUACUCCAAGUCUUUCAAAACUUGACAGAAGGGUCAUCCAAAGCUGCCUUCCUGCUUUCCAGGUAUGAAUCCAGAGCUGCAGUCCAUAAGGCCAUAAGAAAUAUAGGCAUGGGUAUAAAGGGACAUGGAAGCCAAAAAGCCAUCAUCUGGCCAUCUGAAUCUGGCCCUGCAAUUGUCUCUUCACUCAUGAAUACGUGAUUUUACUUGCCAGCAGAAACAGCUGACAGAGGAUAGCCUCUGCCUCCCAUCUGCCUUCCAACCAAGCAAGUAUCAUUUGAUGACUUUUCACCUCUGCAGAAUAGUACGACACCAUAAAAGAGGGGUGGAAAUGGGGUUGAGAUCUACAGCCUAAGUAUCCCUCACUGACUCCCAAUAUAGCCAGGUGAUUUGACUGGUUAUUUAUUCUUGGCCUCCUUCAAGGUUUUCACCUGACCCACACAAACCUUGGUGUCCCCGAGGUUCUAUCCUCAGCCAUGGCUUUUCUUGCCCAACAGGCUAACGGAUGAUUCAUACUUGGAGAUUCGUACUUGGGAGAUCACCUCCAUUCUCUCGCCCUCAGCUAGUAUUUAACUCAAUAUCUGUAGCUAACACCUCUCCCCUGAACUUCAAAUUAAUAUAUCCAACUCUCUGCCAGACAGCUCCAGUUAGAUAUUCCAGGUAAUGUGAAGUCAACCUAUCACUAAGGCUGUACUUGUUUCUCUUCUUAUUGCGAUUCCAGUUACUAUGAAUGUCACCAUCAUCGACCCAGGCACCCAGGCUGCAUUCCUCAACUAUAUGUAGAGCUCAUUCCUUUGCCUCAUCUCUCAUAUUCGCUAUCCAAGAACUACCUGUUUUGUCAUCUAAAUCUUUCUCAUUCAUCUUGUCCUCUCCAGCCCUGCUACCACUGUCCUAGUUCAAGCCCCUGUCGUUUCCCACCUAGAUUUCUGCAGCAGCUUCCUAGUUGAUUUUCCUAGAUCCAGUCUUCAACUCAGCUCUGUCUUCUGUGUAGUUGACAAUGAUGGUAUUAUACACAAGCUUGAUUACAUCAGCUACCUGCUCAAACCUGUUCCAUGGUUCUUCAACACCUGUUGCAAUGGCCUUAAACUCUGCUGCACAUCAAAAUCUAUAUAGAGUC
rnacentral:lncRNA from 1 species